AGUGAACGCUGGCGGUAGGCCUAACACAUGCAGGUCGAACGGCAGCACAGUAAGAGCUUGCUCUUACGGGUGGCGAGUGGCGGACGGGUGAGGAAUACAUCGGAAUCUACUUUUUCGUGGGGGAUAACGUAGGGAAACUUACGCUAAUACCGCAUACGACCUACGGGUGAAAGCAGGGGAUCUUCGGACCUUGCGCGAUUGAAUGAGCCGAUGUCGGAUUAGCUAGUUGGCGGGGUAAAGGCCCACCAAGGCGACGAUCCGUAGCUGGUCUGAGAGGAUGAUCAGCCACACUGGAACUGAGACACGGUCCAGACUCCUGCGGGAGGCAGCAGUGGGGAAUAUUGGACAAUGGGCGCAAGCCUGAUCCAGCCAUCCCGCGUGGGUGAAGAAGGCCUUCGGGUUGUAAAGCCCUUUUGUUGGGAAAGAAAAGCAGCAGGUUAAUACCCCGCUGUUCUGACGGUACCCAAAGAAUAAGCACCGGCUAACUUCGUA
rnacentral:rRNA from 1 species